GGCGUGGGGGGGGGAGGAGAAGAACCUGAGCAGAAAGGAAAAGCCAUCAUGGGUUAGGUGAGCUGUGAAAAUGUAGCCCUAAGGGCUGGCCAGUUGGAGAUAAGAAGAGACCAGAUGAAAUAUAUGUGCUUUUUGUCUCCUGCUUGUGAAUUAGGCUAUGAACUCUCAGCUACUACUUCAGUGCCAUGCCUGCCUGCUUGCUCCUCUGUAAUGGUGACAGACUCCUAUACUUCUGGAAGGGAGUAGAGGUAGAAGCAGGAAACUACAAUGAUAUCAUUGAAGGGGAUUGUCUUCAAGGGCUUCUCAGCAGCACUGUCCGCAGUGUAGCAGCACGUGUUGUCCUCAAUGGCCUGAGGGUAUAAAGAGAAGACACAAAUUUCAGUGUUUCUGUCAAGCCCACAAAACAUAAAGAACUCUAAACUCUAA